rnacentral:rRNA from 1 species
GAGUUUGAUCCUGGCUCAGAUUGAACGCUGGCGGCAUGCUUUACACAUGCAAGUCGGACGGCAGCACAGGGAAGCUUGCUUCUCGGGUGGCGAGUGGCGAACGGGUGAGUAACAUAUCGGAACGUACCGGGUAGCGGGGGAUAACUGAUCGAAAGAUCAGCUAAUACCGCAUACGUCUUGAGAGGGAAAGCAGGGGACCUUCGGGCCUUGCGCUAUCCGAGCGGCCGAUAUCUGAUUAGCUGGUUGGCGGGGUAAAGGCCCACCAAGGCGACGAUCAGUAGCGGGUCUGAGAGGAUGAUCCGCCACACUGGGACUGAGACACGGCCCAGACUCCUACGGGAGGCAGCAGUGGGGAAUUUUGGACAAUGGGCGCAAGCCUGAUCCAGCCAUGCCGCGUGUCUGAAGAAGGCCUUCGGGUUGUAAAGGACUUUUGUCAGGGAAGAAAAGGCCGUUGCCAAUAUCGGCGGCCGAUGACGGUACCUGAAGAAUAAGCACCGGCUAACUACGUGCCAGCAGCCGCGGUAAUACGUAGGGUGCGAGCGUUAAUCGGAAUUACUGGGCGUAAAGCGGGCGCAGACGGUUACUUAAGCAGGAUGUGAAAUCCCCGGGCUCAACCCGGGAACUGCGUUCUGAACUGGGUGACUCGAGUGUGUCAGAGGGAGGUGGAAUUCCACGUGUAGCAGUGAAAUGCGUAGAGAUGUGGAGGAAUACCGAUGGCGAAGGCAGCCUCCUGGGAUAACACUGACGUUCAUGUCCGAAAGCGUGGGUAGCAAACAGGAUUAGAUACCCUGGUAGUCCACGCCCUAAACGAUGUCAAUUAGCUGUUGGGCAACUUGAUUGCUUGGUAGCGUAGCUAACGCGUGAAAUUGACCGCCUGGGGAGUACGGUCGCAAGAUUAAAACUCAAAGGAAUUGACGGGGACCCGCACAAGCGGUGGAUGAUGUGGAUUAAUUCGAUGCAACGCGAAGAACCUUACCUGGUUUUGACAUGUGCGGAAUCCUCCGGAGACGGAGGAGUGCCUUCGGGAGCCGUAACACAGGUGCUGCAUGGCUGUCGUCAGCUCGUGUCGUGAGAUGUUGGGUUAAGUCCCGCAACGAGCGCAACCCUUGUCAUUAGUUGCCAUCAUUCGGUUGGGCACUCUAAUGAGACUGCCGGUGACAAGCCGGAGGAAGGUGGGGAUGACGUCAAGUCCUCAUGGCCCUUAUGACCAGGGCUUCACACGUCAUACAAUGGUCGGUACAGAGGGUAGCCAAGCCGCGAGGCGGAGCCAAUCUCACAAAACCGAUCGUAGUCCGGAUUGCACUCUGCAACUCGAGUGCAUGAAGUCGGAAUCGCUAGUAAUCGCAGGUCAGCAUACUGCGGUGAAUACGUUCCCGGGUCUUGUACACACCGCCCGUCACACCAUGGGAGUGGGGGAUACCAGAAGUAGGUAGGGUAACCGCAAGGAGCCCGCUUACCACGGUAUGCUUCAUGACUGGGGUGAAGUCGUAACAAGGUAGCCGUAGGGGAACCUGCGGCUGGAUCACC